ensembl:snRNA U6 U6 spliceosomal RNA
GUGCUUGCUGUGGCAGCACAUGUAAAAUUGGAAAAAUACAGAGAUGUUUAGCAUUGCCCCUGCACAAGGAUGAUAUGUAAAUUCAUGAAGCUUUCCAUAUUUUU